CUACAAUUUUCCCCCUUUCUGUCUCUCCAGCUCUUAUAAUGUGAAUUCACAAAAGCAGGAGGUGAAGGGAAGGGAUGCAGUGAUGCACCUGGAGGUUACAGAUGAGAAGAUACACCCCAAACCCUGGAAUUCCUAUUUUUGGUAGGUUUGCUUGUUCACCUGCCCAAAAACUUGUGCCAGACGUCUGACUACAGCCAGGGGUCUCACUGCUGCUGAGCUCACCUGUGCAGAAUAUCUUUGAGCAGUUUUUGACUUUCAAAUGCCACGAUGAACACUCUGCUGUCCAAAGGGGGCUUCAGGAGGGUUUGGGGUUUGCUGGCUGGAUUUUCCCCAUUUCUCUCAUCCACAGCCACACAGGGAAGUGCCACGUGUGUCCCAGGUGUGAGGAGCAGCUCCACAGUGACCUGGCCCCUCUCUCAGAGCCCCCACACCACGGCUGUGCCGCCUGCCAGGACUGGCUGAGCUCCCAGCCCCAAAAACCCCGCAGCUACUCGGUCCCCAGCAUUGGCCGUGGGGACAGCCAGAGCCCAGCAGGCAGCAGGUACAGAUCCAACAGGGGAGCAAAGCAAGGGGAAAGGGGGAGGAAGCAUCUCUAGGUGGAUAAAGUGAGUUCUGCAGUUGGAAUUCGUGUGGUUCCUGUUUUAGCAGGAGCAAGGGUUUGAUGUUUAGGGAAUAGUGGCUCUGUUGGGCAGGAGGUGUUUUUGGGAAGCCACACUCAGGCUCGGUGUGUUCUCUCUCUCCGUGUGUUCAGCUCUCCUGCCAAAGCUGUGGAUGUGCUGAGGGCAGAUGGCACAGGAGAAGCUGCUCCGUGGAGGAGUGAGGCAGAGCAGCCCAUGGACCACCAAAGGUCAGUCUUGCACCCAAAAACACCCGGGUGCCACGGCGGGCAUGGACAAAAAUCAGCGAAUUUCAGAACUGUGCUUAUCAGAGAAUCCCAGAGUGGUUUGGGUUGGAAGGGACCUUAAAGCUCCUCUCAUCCCACCCCCACACCUCCCAGCAUCCCAGGCUGUUCCAAGCCCCAGAACCACGGCCUGGAAGGCACAGCCAUGCUCUCAGCGCUCAUCCUCAAUGGUUUUCCUCCACAGCGACCACAUCUGUCCCAUCUGUGAGAGCUGGCUCCGUGCCCACACUGGCCAGGGGGACAGCAGGGCUGUGACACCGGGGGAGUGGCAGCACAAGGGCCCCCAGGGCCCCGUCUGCCCCCCCUGCAUGGACAGACAGCUCCUGUCCCUUGUCCACGGGGACACAGCCAGCAGCCCCGUGUGUCCCCUGGCCGGGGAGGGGACCCUGGCCCACCUGGUCCCUCUGCACAGCCCCAGCUGCCACCUGUGCCCCGUGUGCUCGGUGCCCACCCACGCUCACCUGUGCCAGCCCCAGCGCCUGGCACCUGAUGGUAGGAGCUGCUCGGGGCACCCCAAACACCCCGGGGUCCCUGGGGAGGGCACAGGGCUCCUCAAACCCUCCCCAGGCCGAGGGGCUCCCCCUGAUCCCUGCUUGUUUCCCGUUGCAGGAUAAAUCCAGGAGCUGAGGAGGGAAGGGGAGUUCAGCACCGAUCCCUGGCAGGGGUUCAGCUCUGAGUGCAAUAAAGGGACCUGAAAUCAAAACUCUGACUUCACCUGGGCUGGCAAAGAAGCAAAAAAACCAAACAUACUUCAAACCCACCUCUGUGUUGGUUUAAUGCCCACUUCUUUGUUUAUUUUUAUAUGAACAAAGUGUUUUUGUAGCUCUUAAAGUGAGACUUUAAAAAGUCAGUAAACGUUUCUUUGCACUAGGAAAACAAUUUCCUCUUUGCACAAUCUUACAAGAUUUAUUUGUAUUUCUUAAACUACUUUCUUUAAACUGAGGUUCCUUUCCUAGUGUGCUGAUAAAAGUCC
rnacentral:lncRNA from 14 species